CCUACGGGUGGCAGCAGUGAGGAAUAUUGGUCAAUGGGCGAGAGUCUGAACCAGCCAAGUCGCGUGAAGGAUGACGGCCCUACGGGUUGUAAACUUCUUUUGUCAGGGAGCAAUUGAGUCCACGUGUGGUCUUAGCGAGAGUACCUGAAGAAAAAGCAUCGGCUAAAUCCGUGCCAGCAGCCGCGGUAAUACGGAGGAUGCGAGCGUUAUCCGGAUUUAUUGGGUUUAAAGGGGGCGUAGGCGGAAUAUCAAGUCAGCGGUAAAAAUUCGGGGCUCAACCCCGUCGUGCCGUUGAAACUGAUGUUCUUGAGUGGGCGAGAAGUAGGCGGAAUGCGUGGUGUAGCGGUGAAAUGCAUAGAUAUCACGCAGAACUCCGAUUGCGAAGGCAGCAUACCGGCGCCCAACUGACGCUGAAGCACGAAAGCGUGGGUAUCGAACAGGAUUAGAUACCCCAGUAGUC
rnacentral:rRNA from 1 species